GCUCCUGAUUGUCCAAACGCAAUUCUUGUGCAAUGGAAACAUACAAACCAAGAAUUGUGUCUGGACAUCUGUGGC
rnacentral:pre_miRNA from 2 species